rnacentral:misc_RNA from 1 species
CGGACAUCUCCACCUUUAAACAUAUACUGAUACUGAACUUGAACCUUCAAUAUCUGCUAAUGGAUCUCAAUAAUCUCUUCAUUUCUCUCACUCCAUCAUGGACUUCGGUGUCUAUGUUGAUCGGAUUUUUUCUCUAUUUAGCUACCGUUGGAUCUAUUCUACCCGGAAAACUUGUUCCUGGGGCGACUUUAUCUGAUGGAACUCGACUCCAUUAUCG